GAGUGGACUUGCGGCAUAUUCUUGCGCCCUAGAGGGUGUGGUGUUUCUGUGGGGCUGAUCCCGGGUCAGGGACUGCAUUCCUCCCCGGCCUUGUGACCCCUCAUCUCCUUCGUCCAGUUGGGCCAAUUCUGCAGGCAAAGCCGGAGCCCGUGUCCGUGGACGUGGGGGAAGACGCCUCCUUCAGCUGUGCCUGGCGCGGGAACCCGCUUCCACGGGUAACCUGGACCCGCCGCGGUGGUGCUGGGCUCUAGAGCCACACUGCGCCUUCCGUCAGCGGGACCGGAGGACGCAGGCGACUAUGUGUGCAGGGCUGAGCCUGGGCUCUCGGGCCAGGGGGGCGGCGCCGCGGAGGCUCGGCUGACUGUGAACGGUGAGAAGGCGGGGCUUCCUAGGGGACCUAGCCCGUCCUGGGAUAGGGAGUGGACAGAGGGGGCAAGGGCUAAUGCAGUGGGAGUGGCCUGGAAGGAGCUUUACACCCAGCGGGGCCUGGAGACCUACAUAUUAAAGGAGAGGCUUUUUAGGGGAAUCGGAGUUGGGAGGCAGCAUGGCCUGAUUGAUUAAGGUUAGCGGAGAGUGCGCUGGCCGGACCAGGCUUUGUUACAGCCUUUGGGGAGAGCAAGACCUCUCCUCUUGAGUGACCCACCGUCUCCAUCCCAGCUCCCCCAGUAGUGACCGCCCUUGAGUCUAGCCAUGGAACUAGUCUCCACUACAGUGGGUUGCCAUCUGGGUCCCAAAGAGAUCCACAGCUUGCUGACAAAGCUUUUCUUAAUUGGACUAACCCUGCCCAGCUAGCAGAGCCCACCUGCUGUUCAUUGCCCUUGUGAGCCACAUCUUCAUUAAACCAAUUCUAGGUCUGU